UGAGAACAGCUUCCACUCAUAAACUAUUCAUGCAUGUAGAAAGGGAGAUAAAGAGCAUGUUCACGUAAAUCAAUCCUCUAAGCCAACGUACAGAUGGUGCUCCAAGGAGCGAGGAGGAAAAGUGUUUCUCCUGCAUUCUCACACUUGACUUGGUGACUUCAUCACUUCCCUGCGGGGCCGGGAAUACAUAAGUGAGUCAUGACGCUCAGCGGGAUUUCUCUCUGCACGCGAGCAGCAACUGAGCCAUUUCUACGCACUCUGCAUUGCUGGAACAACGGCCUGACUGACUCCAGGCUACAUUUCUUCUUGAGGAGCUGUGGUCUCCUCCUGUUUAUUCCCGAAGGACGUGGCUGGAACAGCUGACUGCAAUCAGCCAUCAGGGGACUCUCCUACAUCAACCCGGGUCUUCCUGCCAUUCAGCGCCAGAUCGUUCUGUCGUCAGAGUGACAACUAUAGAGGAUCAUCCCAAUCCGCAGUGAACACCUGAGGAUACAAGUCUUCAAGCAGAAGGUCCAGAACUGCUCCACUUUCU
ensembl:lncRNA